CUCUUCCCUGUUGUCGUCUGUAUGUCUGGCAGCUCCACAGAACAGAACCACCCACAAUCAGUGUAAGGAACUACCCAGCUAGUUAACUACACCAGGUUACCGCUGUGAAACUACCCAGCUAGUUAACUACACCAGGUUACCGCUGAGUGACGAUGAUGAUGAUGAGCCAACUAAUGAUGCCCUGUUCAAAACGGUUCCCAAACUUUGUUGUGUAGCAGUCUCUUUCCUCUCUGUCUACAGCCAUAAGGCCCACAGGACUGGGAUCAAGAAGCCCAGACCAGACCGAUACGAGUCCAUGAAAGGGGUCGACCCGAAGUUCAUGAAGAACAUGCGUUUUGCCAAGAAGCACAACAAGAAGGGACAGAAGACGGCCAACGCAGCAGCCAAGAGGAUUGCAGUGGCCGCCGCGCCAUAGACGGGGUGGCAGAUCACCGCAUGUCCACGUUCCAUUGACUUUGUUAGCGUCACAAUAAAGCUUUGUUAGUUUUA